UACGUAGGGGGCGAGCGUUGUCCGGAUUUACUGGGCGUAAAGGGCGUGCAGGCGGUUUGUUUAGUCUAGGGUGAAAGCUCCCGGCUUAACUGGGAGAGGUCCUUGGAUACUGGCAAACUUGAGGGAGGCAGAGGAAAGUGGAAUUCCCGGUGUAGUGGUGAUAUGCGUAGAUAUCGGGAGGAACACCAGUGGCGAAGGCGGCUUUCUGGGCCUUACCUGACGCUGAGACGCGAAAGCGUGGGGAGCGAACCGG
rnacentral:rRNA from 1 species